UAAAUCCAAACCCUUUGAACAGUUUUAGUCUUAGUGGGAACUCCACAAAUUUCUCUAUUUUACUAUUCCAUUUUUCAACCAGUGACUAAAACUGUUCAAAGGGUUUGGAUU
rnacentral:pre_miRNA from 1 species